GUGGGGAAUCUUGCGCAAUGGGCGAAAGCCUGACGCAGCCAUGCCGCGUGGAUGAUGAAGGUCUUAGGAUUGUAAAAUCCUUUCACCGGUGAAGAUAAUGACUGUAGCCGGAGAAGAAGCCCCGGCUAACUUCGUGCCAGCAGCCGCGGUAAUACGAAGGGGGCUAGCGUUGCUCGGAUUUACUGGGCGUAAAGGGCGCGUAGGCGGACAUUUAAGUCAGGGGUGAAAUCCCGGGGCUCAACCUCGGAACUGCCUUUGAUACUGGGUGGCUUGAGUAUGAGAGAGGUGUGUGGAACUCCGAGUGUAGAGGUGAAAUUCGUAGAUAUUCGGAAGAACACCAGUGGCGAAGGCGACACACUGGCUCAUUACUGACGCUGAGGCGCGAAAGCGUGGGGAGCAAACAGGAUUAGAUACCCCAGUAGUCC
rnacentral:rRNA from 1 species